ensembl:snRNA U6 U6 spliceosomal RNA
GUGCUCAAUUCGGCAGCACAUAUGCUAAAAUUAGAACAAUACAGAGAAGAUCACAUGGCCUCUGCACAAGGAUGACAUGCAAAUUUGUAAAGCGUUUCAUAGUUUA